GCAAUACUGUGUGCAUAGUUGUCAUCUAUGUUUGGUAGCAAUAUCUGUCUGUGUUUUGCAUUCAGGUCUUGCUAUCCACACAAAGAGUAUGCAGCCAAAGAGUAACAUGGGAUCAUAGUACUGGUCUUGUGUUGUGUGUUUGAACACAUCUUUUCCACUGGCCAGCCUCCAAUUCCCCAGACAUAA
ensembl:snoRNA Snora23 small nucleolar RNA, H/ACA box 23